CCUAUGGGGCGCAGCAGGCGCGAAAACUCCGCAAUGCGCGCAAGCGUGACGGGGGAACCCCAAGUGCCGUUGGUCUUUUGAUCGACGGCUUUUCGGAAGUCUAAGAAGCUUCCGAAUAAGGGC
rnacentral:rRNA from 1 species